UUCAGUCUUACGCUAGUUUGUGAAAAGAAAAGAAAAACUCGUUCUUUCUUCUUCAAGAAACAAGAAACAUGCACAAAUGGUGGUGUUGGCUGUGUCGCUCAAAGAUCACAAAACGGGUAUGCUCGAUUUGUGCCGAUAAUCUCUUCCGUUUGCUAUGGUAAUUUUUCAAAUAUUUGCAUUUUGAUUUGAUUAUUAAACGACAACAUUCAAUCUUCUGCAUCAUAAAAUCAAAACCCGUUUUCCUUUUUUGUUGAAAAUAAGGGUAUAAACCCUAAAUCAAGAACAUUCAAUUUCUGCUUGAUAAAAGGUAUAACUUUACCCAUCUUUCUCAUUCUUGAUCAUUCAAGAACAUCAAUCUUCUGCUUGAGAAAAACAAAUCAUAAACCCUUAAUCGUGAAAAAAUGUUUUAUGUGCUAAGAUCAUGUUUUCGAUUGAUACUGUUAUGAUACUGAUUUUAUAAUUCUUGAUAUUUCAAGAACAUUCAAUUUCUGCUUGAUGAAAACACAAAUCUUUAAUUGAGGAAACAUGUUAUGUCCCGAGAACUUCCAAUCUUCUGCUAAUUGGAAACUUCAUUCCAACAUAUUUGCCCCGUUUGGUUUAUAUUAAUACCUAUUGGUAAAGAUGAUGGGUUGUCGAUUUUUUCAUUCUUGAGUAUUCAAGAACAUACUUUCAAUUUUCUGCUUCGGAAAAAAAUGAAUCUUCAAUUUUUUUAAGAGAUUAAAUGUCACUUAAUGUGAAUGUGAAAGCUGGUUGUUGCCUAAUUGCUACUCAAGCAAUUGUCCCUAUCGGUGUCCGCUCUUCUAUUAAACAGAAUAUAUGAAUUUUUAUUCAUAAUAAUGCAUGAAUGGAUAUAUAUAUAUAUAUAUAUAUUCUGCUUGGAUGACCCUUAAUAGUCCCUAAAUUCAAUUAUGCAACUGCAAUUAAAAGUGAUUUUGCAUUAUGAACUUGAAGACCCUUGUCCCUAAUGUUACUUAAGUUUUAGAAGGGAUGGAUAACUCAAUGACCUUUGAGGAAAAUGCAUUAUGAAUUCUUUAUUCAUAAUGGAAAAGUUGGAUGGUGGAUUGUAAAGCAAAGUAAUUUUAAUAUGAAAUUUAUUCAAAAUGUGGAUGGAUAGACUCUGCUCCAUGAUUUUUGAAAAGUUGGAUGAUUGUUUAAUGUGAAAGCUAGUUGUUGACCCUAGUACCUAAAUGCUAUUAUCUAUUGUGCUUUGAUUGACCCUUAGUCGCCAAAUGCAAUUUUGUAAAUGCAAAAGAAGGUGUUUCCUUGUGUUUGAUUGGCCCAAUGAUAAAGGUUUCAAAGGAAUUCUCUAAGGAAGAAACGAAUCAACUGAAGCAAAGUACAAAGAAACUAUUUCUUAUAAUAUGGCAUUAUGAUUAAUGGAGGAAUCCAUAAGGAGGUUGUAUUUCUGAUAAAAGUUGAUAAAAUAUGGUGGGUGCUCUACCACCGGUAUAGUAUAAGAUUUGUGCUGAUAAUUAUAAAUGCAAGUCUUGGAUUUAGUAACUGAAAAAAGGAAGAACCUUACCCAUAUUUAUUAUUAUUCUUGAUCAUUCAAUAAGAUUCAAUCUUCUGCUUGAUAAAUACAAAAUCUUUUAUUGUUGUACAUAGCGGUGUUCAGGUUCAACGGUGAUUUGGAAACCAAAAUCUCAUGGAACUGUUAGUGGAGGAUUGUAACUGAAGUUAAAAGCAUCUUGGUGGUUAAGGGGAAGGUUGAUGGUUCAAGUGUUGGUGUUAAUGUGGCUUCAUGCCCAAUUAGAGCAACUUUCUAUCCCAAAAAAAUGAAAAGUCAGAUCAAAAGGUUGGGUUAAUAGGUUUGCGAAUGCUGGUGAUACUGCCAUGGAAGUUGCUGGGAAUACAACAUUAUUUCAUGACAGGUUGGGUUAAUAGGUUUGCGAAUGCUGGUGAUACUGCCAUGGAAGUUGCUGGGAAUACAGCAUUACGGGUGAGUUAUGAUUUCAAAACCCUCUUCCUAAGUGUUGUAUCACGUUAUUUCCUUCAAUUGUCGCAUUGGAACCUGGAUUUUAUUAGUUAUGUGAUAUGGAGCCUAGAUACUUAAAAAUUGCUAAAGCAUCGGUAGAAUACCUGUAUCUGAUACCAAUAUGCCUACCAUAUUCCUCAAAAUAUGCUCCGAGUUCUCUCUAAAUUUUAUAUAUUUCAAAAGAAAAUUAUUGACUUAUGUUUUGGAAAUACUUCAUCGUUACUUCGAUAGCGAUAUCAUUUCCAAAAUCUUGUCUUAAAGCUUUUUGCACCGCAUUAUUCUUUAUCAUGCUGUGAGCAGAAAAAUAGAGUACAUACUCUUUUGUUCAUUUUUUGAGGAAAUGUAAUAUACUGAGUGGCAUGGUUGUGAAAGAGUGGAGAUGUACAUUAUCUUAUUCAAUAUAGUUGCGGCCGCUGACUUAUUUAAUUAGUAGAGUUGUCCCUUGGUGAAUUAGACCUAGAAGCUAUGGUUUUUGGACAAUGAGAAUGUACGAAAAUGAUAAAAUUAGCAUUAGACAGUAAAACAAAUAGUAAUUGAAUAGAGUCAAGCCUUGUUUUAAAAACUAGCACCUGACGUUCAAUUUCUGCUUGAAAACACGAAACUUUAAUUGAGGAAACGUGUUUUGUCCCAAUAACUUUCAAUCUUCUGCUUAUUGGAAACUUCAUUCCAACAUAUUUGCCCCGUUUGGUUUAUAAUUAAUACCUAUUGGUAACGAUGAUGGGUUUUCAAUUUUUUAAUUCUUGAGUAUUCAAGAACUUUCACUCUUCUGCUUUGGAAAAAAACGAACUUUCAUUUUUGGAAGAGACUAAAUGUCACUGAAUGUGAAAGCUAGUUGUUGCCGUAAUUGCUUGUCUAUAUCGGUGUCUGCUUUUCUAUUUAAAAAAAAUUAUGAAUUUUUAUUCAUAAUAAUGCAUGAAUGGAUAUAUAAUCUGCUUCGAUGACCCUUAGUCCCUAACUUCAAUUUUGCAACUACAAUUAAAAGUGAUUUUGCAUUAUGAACUUAAUACGCUUGUCUCUAAUGUUACAUGACCUUUGAGGAAAAUGCAUUAUGAAUUCUUUAUUCAUAAUGGAAAAGUUGGAUGGUGGCUUUCAAAGCAAAGUAAUUUUAUUAUGAAAUUUAUUCAAAAUGUGGAUGGAUAGACUUUGUUCCACGAUAUUUGUAAGGCUGACCCAAAAAUGUUGGAUGAUGCCUUAAUGUGAAAGCUAGUUGUUGACCCUAGUGCCUAAAUGCUAUUAUCUAUUGUGCUUUGAGGGUAUAAACCCUAAAUCAAGAACAUUCAAUCUUCUGCUUAAUAAAAGGUAUAACUUUACCCAUUUUUAUCAUUCUUGAUCAUUCAAGAACAUUCAAUCUUCUGCAUGAGAAAAACAAAAACAAAAAAACCUUAAUCAUGCAAAAAUGCAUUUCUGUGUUGUGAUACCGGUUUUUUUAAUUCUUGAUAUUUCAAGAACACUCAAUCUUCUGCUUGAAAACACAAAACUUUAAUUGAGGAAACAUGUUUUGUCCCAAGAACUUUCAAUCUUCUGCUUAUUGGAAGCUUCAUUCCAACAUAUUUGACCCGGUUGGUUUAUAAUAAAUACCUAUUGGUAGAUGAUGGGUUUUCAAUUUUUUCAUUCUUGAGUAUUCUAUUCAAGAACGUAUUUUCAAUCCCCUGCUUCGAAAAAAAUGAACCUUUAAUUUUUGUAAGAGAUUAAAUGUCCUUGAAUGUGAAUGUGAAAGCGUUGUUGCCGUAAUUGCUACUCAAGCAAUUGUCUCUAUUGGUGUCUGCUUUUCUAUUAAAAAAAUUAUGAAUUUUUAUUCAUAAUAAUGCAUGAAUGGAUAUAUAUUCUGCUUUGAUGACCGUAUAGUCCCUAAAUUCAAUUCUGCACUGCAAUUAAAAGUGAUUUUGCAUUAUGAACUUAAUGACCCUUGUCUCUAAUGUUACAUAUGCUUUGUAAGGGAUAGAUGCCCCAAUGACUUUGAGGAAAAUGCAUUAUGAAUUCUUUAUUCAUAAUGGAAAAGUUGGAUGGUGGUUUUCAAAGCAAAGUAAUUUCAUUAUGAAAUUUAUUCAAAAUGUGGAUGGAUAGACUUUGUUCCACGAUAUUUGUAAGGCUGACCCAGAAAUGUUGGUUGAUGCCUUAAUGUUAAAGCUAGUUGUUGACCCUAGUCCCUAAAUGCUAUUAUCUAUUGUGCUUUGGUGGACCCUUAGUCCCUAAAUGCAAUUUUGCAACUAUAGUAUGAAGUGAUUUUGCAAAUGCAAAAGAAAGUUUUUCCUUGUGUUUGAUUGGCCCGCUGAUAAGGGUUUCAAAGGAAUUCUCUAAGAAAGAAACGAAUCAACUGUAGCAAAGUACAAAGAAACCAACUCUUUGGAGUCUAAACUAUUUCCUAUAAUAUGGCAUUAUGAUUAAUGGAGGAAUCCAUAAUGAGGUUGUUUAUCUGAUAAAAUUUGAAAAAAUGUGGUGGGUGUUAUGCCACUGGUAUAAGAUUUGUGUUGAUAUAAAUGUAAGUCUUGGAUUUUGUAACUGAAAAAAAGCAGAACCUUACCCAUUUUUAUUAUUCUUUAUCAUUUAAUAAGAUUCAAUCUUCUGCUUGAUAAAUGCAAAACCUUUUAUUGCUGAACCAAAAUCUGUAAUAACAGGCUGUCAUCCUUUUAGAUUCAUUAUGAGACUACUGUCUCAUAGAUGUGGAGAGACUCUAGAGAGAUGACUGAAGCUUUGGUUACAAGAUAGAAACUAGGGAAGAAUAACAGGUGCUGUGAACAGGCAUUUUAUGUCGGAAGUAAAUGUGGGAACAAGUUUUCUUAAUAUGGUAAUUCUAUGAUUUGAGUUGUCUUUCCCCCCUAUAUGUAUGGUGUAGAAUCAGAUAUAGAUGUAAGUGCGCUUCGGAAUGAAGGAAAAGCAAGUGAUUCAACCAUUUUAUAUGUUUCUCAUACGGUAUAAUGACUAUACUGAUGUGUUAUUCUUUAUGCAAUUAACACUUGCUGUCAAUUACCUACGCGUCGUGCAAUUUAUGAUGCUGCUAUAUAACUACAACUCUAUAAUUAUCUUAACAAGAGGACCUUUCUUACUAUGUUAUGUAUUUGGGAGAUUGGUGUUUAAUGCAGUCUAAUUUCAUUUUUGAGAACUUAUUCAGCCUAUAAGCUUACUAUGGUGGUGUGACAGAAUCUUUUUUCAUUAUCUAAAAAUGGGGUGGACUAUAUUGCUCUAGUAACCCCAAAUUUGACCGUUGGAAUCGAUGAAUAUACUUUGUUUUAUAAAUUUUAAUGGAUGGAUCAUAGAUGCCUCCAUGACCAUAGAGUAAAAUGUUGGAAGAACUUAAUGACCCUAGUCCUUAAAUGCGAAAGCUAGUUGUUGCCUUAAUUGCUACUCAAUAAAUUGUCUCUAUCGGUGUCCUCUUUUCCAUUAGAAAAAGUUAUGAAUUUUUAUUCAUGAUAAUAAUGCAUGAAUGGAUAUAUAUUUUGCUUUGGUGACCCUUAGUUCCUAAAUUCAAUUUUGCACUGCAAUUAGAAGUGAUUUUUCAUUACAAACUUAAUUACCCUUGUCCCUAAUGUUAUAUAAGUUUUGUGAGGGAUGGAUGGCUCAAUGACCGUUGAGGAAAAUGCUAUGAAUUCUUUAUUCAUAAUGAAAUAGUGGCUCUGCUUCCCGGGGGAAUUGUUUAUGAUCACUGUGCAUGGUAGUGGCUCUGCUUCCCGGGGGAAGUGUCAUUCUUAUCUUGGAAUAUUAAAGUAGCAUCCACUUCAUAUAAUGGGACCACUGUGGUUUGGGACCUAAAGAAGCAAAAGCCAGUGAUAAGCUUUGCAGACUCAGUUAGACGACGGUGCUCGGCUUUGCAAUGGAAUCCUGAUGUUGCUACACAACUUCUUGUUGCAUCAGAUGAAGACGAAUAUCCUUCUAUAAGGCUUUGGGAUAUGAGGAAUAUAAUGACACCGAUUAAGGAGUUUAUGGGGCACACUAGAGGCAUAAUUGCAAUGUCAUGGUGUCCCAAUGAUAGCUCUUAUUUGCUUACCUGUGGCAAAGAUAGCCGAACCAUAUGCUGGGACACUAUUUUUGGAGAGGUGGUGUUUGGCCUUCUUUUAUCGCUUUCACAUAUUAUUAUUUUUUUAAAGACUUUCAAAAUUGCCAAAUUUAGCUAGAUUUCGUACUUAUAGGACAUUUUUCCAAUAGUGACAAAUAGGGGUGUGCAUGGUUUAAAAACCACACCACACCAAACCAUAUUUAUGGUUUUGGUUUAAAUCCAAAACCUUUUAAUGAAAAAUUGGUUAUUUUGCAAAAUUAAUUUGGAUAUGGUUCAUAACCAGUUCGGAACCAAUUUAUAACCGGUUUAUAAUAAAAAAUUAGGUUACUCAUUUAAACCAAUCUUAAAUUAUUUUUUUGGUUGGGGGUGGGCACAGAUUGCCUAUGAAUUGCCAGUCGGAACUAACUGGAACUUUGAUGUGCAUUGGUAUUCUAAGAUACCUGGAGUAAUAUCGGCAUCUUCCUUUGAUGGAAAAAUAGGCAUAUACAAUAUUAAGGUACAUACUUUUCUUUUUUGAGGGUGGGCACAGAUUGCCUAUGAAUUUACUUAAUGCUGGGAACGACGACGGGCUUUUUGAUUAUUCAAAAAUCUUUAAUCUUCGAAAAAACGGAACCUUCAAAUUUUUUAAGGGAUUGGAUUUCUUGACGCCCAAAAAAUGCUGGAUAAAUUACUUAAUGACUCUAGUUCCUGAAUGUGAAAAAGCUAGUUUGUUGCCUUAAUUGCUACUCAAGCAAUUGUCUCUUUUGGUGUCCUCUUUUCUAUUCAAAAAAAUUAUGAAUUUUUAUUCGUAAUAAUGCAUGAAUGGAUAUAUACUCUGCUUCGAUGACCCUUGGUCCCAAAAUUCAAUUCUGCAACUGAAAGAAAAAGUGAUUAUGCAUUAAGAAUUUAAUGACCCUUGUCCCUAAUGUUCCUUAUGUAUUGUAAGGGGUGGAUGCUCUAAUGACGACCUUUGAGGAAAAUGUAGUAUGAAUGCUUUCUUGAUGCCCAAAAAAUGCUCCUAUAUAAAUUACUUAAUGACUCUAGUCCCUGAAUGUGAAAAAGUUAGUUGUUGCCUUAUUUGCUACUCAAGCAAUUGUCUCUAUCGGCGUCCUCUUUUCUAUUCAAAAAAAUUAUGAAUUUUUAUUCAUAAUAAUACAUGAAUGGAUAUAUAUUCUGCUUUGAUGGCCCUUGGUCCCAAAAUUGAAUUCUGCAAUUGAAAGGAAAAGUGAUUUUGCAUUAAGAAUUUAAUGACUCUUAUCCCUAAUUUUUCAUAUGUUUUGUAAGGGAUGGAUGCUUUAAUGACGACCUUUGAGGAAAAUGCAUUAUUAAUGCUUUCUAUUUUUUGUCUUAGAUGAGUGGUAAUCCACUGAAAUUAAAGUCACAUAAUUGUGAGAUCCCGGGUUCGAACCCGGGUCACGACGUCCAACCUAACAGUUUUGGCAUUUUUUGUCUGAGCUAGGACUUAUGGGACUUAUUAAUGCUUUCUUGAUGCCCAAAAAUUGGUGUAUAAAUUACUUAAUGAUUGUAGUCCCUGAAUGUGAAAAAACUAGUUGUUGCCUUAAUUGCUACUCAAGCAAUUGUUUCUAUCAGUGUCCUCUCUUCUAUUCAAAAAAGUAUGAAUUUUUAUUCAUAAUAAUACUUGAAUGGAUAUAUACUCUGCUUUGAUAACCCUUAGUCCCAAAAUUGAAUUCUGCAAUCGAAAGGAAAAGUGAUUUUGCAUUCAGAAUUUAAUGACUCUUGUUCCUAAUGUUCCUUAUGUAUUGUAAGGGGUGGAUGCUCUAAUGACGACCUUUGAGGAAAAUGUAGUAUGAAUGCUUUCUUGAUGCCCAAAAAAUGCUCCUAUAUAAAUUACUUAAUGACUCUAGUCCCUGAAUGUGAAAAAGCUAGUUGUUGCCUAAAUUGCUACUCAAUCAAUUGUCUCUAUCAAUGUCAUCUUUUCUAUUAAAAAACUAUGAAUUUUUAUUCAUAAUAAUGCAUGAAUGGAUAUAUAUUCUGCUUUGAUAACCCUUAGUCCCAAAAUUCAAAUCUGCAACCGAAAGGAAAAGUGAUUUUGCAUUAAAAACUUAAUAACCCUUGUCCCUAAUGUUUCAUAUGUUUUGUAAGGGAUUGAUGCUUUAUUGACUGUUGAAGAAAAUGCAUUAUGAAUGUUUGUUUUCUUGAUGCCCAAAAAAUGUUGUAUAAAUUACUUAAUGAAACACACUAGUCCUUGAAGGUGAAAAAGCUAGUUGUUGCCUUAAUUGCUACUCAAGCAAUUGUCUCUAUUGGUGUCCGCUUUUCUAUCCAAAAAAAUUAUGAAUUUUUAUUCAUAAUAAUAUAUGGGCUUAAUUAUUCUUUUGGUCCCUUAAAGACAUUUUAAGUUUCAUAAUGGUCCCUUAAAGAAAAUAUGGUCCAGAUUGGUCCCUUAUUAAUAUUACCAUUUGUCACAUUGAUCCCUACCGUUAAUUUAUUAACACCAAAUAUAUUAGGUGUACCAACAUUGUAGGUGGUCGGUGGUCCACCAUAUACCUCAAUACAUUUUUUAAUCUUAACCAUCAGAUAUUUUUGAAGAAAAAUAAACCAUUAGAUUUUGAAUGUCCACCGGAUAUAACAGUGCACCAUCGUGUUCUUCAUCCUUCAUCAUUCCUUCAUCUUCUUCCUCCAUUCCUUCUUCAUGUUCUUCAUAACUUUAACACCCAAUCUCAAAAUCAACACCCAAUUUCAUAUUCUUCAACACUCAAUCUCAAAAUCAACACCCAAUUUCAUAUUUUUCAACACCCAAUCUCAAAAUCAACACCCAAUUUCAUAUUCUUCAACACUCAAUCUCAAAAUCAACACCCAAUUUCAUAUUCUUCAACACCACCACCACCACCACAGAUCCCAGAUUCGCAAACACAGAUCCACAAAUCCCACAAAACAAAACACAAAAACGCAAACACGAAGAUGAAACUGACAGUACCUUUUUUUCCUUUAAUCGAUGGAAAAAGAAAAGAAAAAGAAAGAUGCAAGAUCUGGGUUUGAGGAAGAAGAUGAAUAAAAGGAAAAAAUAUCAUAUGUUGGUGGUUCACUAUUAGAUAUAAUAGACCAAUAAGAUCUAAUGGUUUUAGUUUUGUCAAAAAUAUCAAACGGAUAAAACUAAAAUAUUAUUAAGGUUUAUGGUGUACCACUAAGUAUAUUGACUCACCAUACACAGCAAUAGUGCCACCUGUACACAAUUUAACGGUUUAUGGUAAAAAUGGACG